CCUACGGGAGGCAGCAGUGGGGAAUAUUGCGCAAUGGGGGCAACCCUGACGCAGCCAUGCCGCGUGUGUGAAGAAGGCCUUCGGGUUGUAAAGCACUUUCAGUGGGGAGGAAAGGGCGCUGGCUAAUAUCCAGUGCAGUUGACGCUACCCACAGAAGAAGCACCGGCUAAUUCCGUGCCAGCAGCCGCGGUAAU
rnacentral:rRNA from 1 species